rnacentral:rRNA from 1 species
CCGAGCCCGUCCCUCCUCCAUGACCGGAUACUGAUCGUAGCCUUGGUGACCCAUUACCUCACCAACUAGGUAAUCAGUGUUUGGCUCCUCCCAUGGUGUGUUGGGGGUGGGUGCAAAACCCCGACACCAUUUCCGCGACGAUGCU